AACCAUUCUCACCUGCGGCUAGACCUGCGGAAGGAUCAUUACAGAGUUGCAAAACUCCCUAAACCAUUGUGAACGUUACCUAAACCGUUGCUUCGGCGGGCGGCCCGGGUCCUUCCCGGCGCCCAUCGGCCCUCGCGGGCGCCCGCCGGAGGUAAACCAAACUAUUGCAUUGUAUGGCCUCUCUGAGUCUUCUGUACUGAAUAAGUCAAAACUUUCAGCAACGGAUCUCAGAUCGGAAGA
rnacentral:misc_RNA from 1 species